CUCAAACAUAGAACCCGCAUGCGAGUGAUCUGGUUUUGCCGUUCAGCUUCCGAAGUGCCGGAUCAAUCCGGUCAUACUGCCAAGGGAAGAACACAUGCAACGGAUUGCUGCAAACAACACGGCCCGGUGGAGCAGAUGCCGUUAACGAGGAGCAUUUGAGGGGCUACUUUCAGUUUGCUCUACGGGCAUGGUUACAACACGGUCUGGCAAGGCCUCUCUCCGACGGAAAUGGGCCCUUCGGAUCACUAUUUUAAACAGAAAUUGGAGCCACUGGCGGAAGCGCUGUUGUCUAACCACCUGCUCUCGAACAGUAUGAAAACUUCUAAGAGCAACUGCUUAAUCUGCAGCUUUACCAUCGAUUAGAUGUAGUGGCAGCCAACGAAUCAAUUAACAUCAAGCACAUCCAUGUAGACUCGCUCGGUUAUUUGCACUGUAGCAACGGGGCCAAGCAAAUCUUAAACCAGAUGCUCAACUUCUUUAUCAAUGUUCACCAGAACAGCGUCGGUUUUCAAAAUGUGCAAUAUCAAUUCGUUUCCAAAGUAGAGUUCCUUGACUCGAACAAUUUUAACGCUUAUCUCGGCAUUAGUACUGGAGAUCAUUUGCUUCAGUAGAAGCUAGUGAAUAACCUGGUUGCCCUGCCUAUCGCUUGAUGCGAAUAACACUACAGGAUGAUUGAUUCAAUCAAUCAGACGAUAUUUGUGCACUGGAAUCGAGUGGUGGAUUAUUCCAAGGUGCUUCCGUCAGAAGACAGAGUCCGUACGGAAACUAUGCCAUCAUGCUGGAGGCGAAGGACGUUUAGUAGUUGUGCUGGAACCCGAUCCGCUCCAAAUACUCUCAGGCUUGUUGAGGCUGAAGUUCAUCGAGCUGUUUACUAAGCGCGGCAAUGAAAAAUACCAAACUGCGUUACAUUUGAGUCGUCACUGGGAUGAGCUCUUCGUGAAAGUGCGAUUCAAAAACCGUUUUCCUGCAUGCAAGAGUUUUCUAGUCAAAUUAUUACCAUCUCGUUUAUAUACGGUGCAUGCAAUGUCCAAAGAAAAGACACUUGCCCUAUAUUUCUUUGCUCUGAUUAGUGAGCUGCUGGUAAUGACAAUUUGCAACGAUAAGUACGUACAGGCACGUGCUCUUCAGCCAACGAGGAAGGCCGAAAAGAAUAAUUCGGAGCAGAACAACCAUGAAGCCGUAGUGGUCCGGAUGGCGGAUAUGCUUUUCACCCCUAAACAGCUUCCUGGGUAGUACCAUUGCUUUUGGACUCACUAGUGGCCGCCCUCGAACAGAUGUCGCAUGAUGCCAAGAUAGAGAGCCGUUUAAUUGAAAUCAGUGGAAAAGUGAGAUUAAAGAACUGAAAAAGAUAGACAAAUUCAAUUGAUCAAUGAAUCGAUUUAAUGAUUAGUACUGCCCAACUAACAAUUUUGGUGCUAAAAGCUUCAACUUCUAGCCUUUGGCUGUAUAAUAUUUGAAUAAAAGCAGCCAAUGCUGAUUACAAGAAAAGCCUCUGCAAAUAAUCCCUUAAACUUCAACUCGACUAUUACCCAAAUAUCUAUCAGCUAGUCAUUGUGCCGAAUAUAUUUAAUCUUUUAUCGUUUAUGCAGCUUUCAUAUAGUCAUAAAACAGCUCUGUCUGAAUUAGCAACAAAGCUUAUCGGUUAAGAGCUCAUGUAUGUAACUGAGUUGCUUGUUAGCAACUUCCCAUAUUACGGUGAGUAGCAUUCACAAUGAAAACGUUUUCGCUGUUGUUAUAGCACUAACAAUAUAGCGUAAUGGCGCUAUAAAUGAACUAACGAAGCUUUUAGGCAACUUCUGUAUCUUUGAAGAUUACACAACGUUUAAGUAAACCUUAUACUGCUUCUUUUAAUAGCUUAUCAGUAUGGAACGUCAAAACCGCAAUGUUUACAUUUGAUUUUUGGUGCCGGAGCUGUGUAUGAGCUAUUGAUUUCUGUAAUGCAGCUACAAAGGUAUUCACCUGCUCUCAUAGCCACUGACAAAGCGCUGUCAUUAAUGCUAGCAGUAGCAUAAGAAAACAAGCCAUUUAGAAGCGAUAUUUCUGUUGACGGCUACUGUUAAACGAUUAGCAACAGAGUAGCAUCUAUACAGAUCGAGAAAAUGUUGCCUAAAAACAAUUUCA